rnacentral:lncRNA from 1 species
GGCACAGGACUUCCCGCCCGGGCCUGCGAUGCGAGGGUUCCCACCCAGGCCGGGAGGCGCGCGCGGGAAGGCGGCCGCGCACCGGAGACUCACUUGGAGGACCAGCCGCGCCACUUGACCAGGAGGAUCUUUCACGAAAGGAGGGGAGUCACUGGGUUCGGAUUCUCUCACCGCAGUGACUCACACAACGAUGGACAGAGUUCCUGGACCUGGAUGGAGUAUGGGAGCUGCUCAAAGGAAUGUAGCUGUUGCAACUCAGGGUUUCCUGAACUCCAAGGCAAGGGACCUGAUGAAGACCUCCAACCUGGACUCUUUCUCCUCCUGAGCCAUACUUUGAAUCUCGGCAUUUGGGAGUCAGGGCAGGAGGAUCCCUGUGAGUUCUACACCAGCCAGGAUUAAGUAAUGAGUAAAAAUCAGGAAGAAAGAAAGAAAGAAAGAAAGAAAGAAAGAAAGAAAGAAAGAAAGAAAGAGAAAGAAGGAA